rnacentral:rRNA from 1 species
UACUAGAGUAGCACUCGCAUAUCAAUAAGCGGAGGAAAAGAAACUAACAAGGAUUCCCCUAGUAACGGCGAGUGAAGCGGGAAGAGCUCAAAUUUGAAAUCUUAAAGGGUUUCCCUUUACGAAUUGUAGUUUAAAGAAGUGUUUUCUGUUGAGGUUUUGGUAAAAGUUCUUUGGAAUAGGACAUCAUAGAGGGUGAGAAUCCCGUAUUUGACCUUUACUUUCAGCUUUGUGAUACACUUUCAAAGAGUCGGAUUGUUUGGGAAUGCAGUCCAAAAUGGGUGGUAGAUUUCAUCUAAAGCUAAAUAUUGGCGAGAGACCGAUAGCGAACAAGUACCGUGAGGGAAAGAUGAAAAGAACUUUGAAAAGAGAGUUAAACAGUACGUGAAAUUGUCAAAAGGGAAGCGUUUGACACCAGUGUUGUUUUUCUGAAAAUCAAUUAAAGAACUGUUUAUGCUAAGUUGUUUAGACUUUAUCAGCUAACUGUUUAGUUUUGAGCUUUUCUUUAAUGCACUUUUCAGUUAACAAGUCAACAUCAAUUUCUUUUGCUGUAAAAAAGCUUGAGGAAGGUGGCUUGAGAUUCGUCUUAAGUGUUUAUAGCCUCUUGCCUAUGCAGUCGGAGAGAUUGAGGUCUGCAGCGUAGAUCCUUCGGGGCUAAAUGCAUUUGUGCUAAGUUAUAGCAUUUUAUAGACAACUUGUUGACUAUGAUUUGUCUUGUAGCUUACUCGCUUAUGUUAUUUUACCUACGCUUAGGAUGUUGAACUCUAUCACACACAG